GCGGCAAGUAUUGGUGCACAACAACAGCAACCGAUGUUAGGGUAUCAGCCAAUGCCACGAGCAGCAGGGUAUCAGUCAAUGCCACAAUCAGCAGGGUAUCAGUCAAUGCCACAAUCAGCAGG